CCUAGUUAACACAAGUCACAUAACGAUGUGGUAAUUUCAAGUGUGUUGACAACAUAUACUACUCAGGGUAAAGGAUUGCAUGUUAGCUGAAUAUCUAAUAGUAUGAUUGUGACUUGUUGAUUUUAUUCCAUUUAUAGACGUCUAUAAACAGCCUGUCAUGGGAUUUCUGGAGUUUUGUGGAAGUGAAUUUUGGAACACCAGUCUAUUACUAGAUGGAACUUGGCCACAAUUUACCGAUUGUUUUGUACAUACAGUAGUUGUAUGGAUACCUAGUGCAUUUAUACUACUCAUUUUACCAUUUUAUAUCUACCAUUUAUACCACCACCACGACAAUAAUACCCCUCCUAUACCAGUAAACCUACUGAACUCACUUAGAUCGCUUAUUACAUCGACAUUAGUUGUAUUAGCAUUGGUGAAUCUUGUCCAAGAUGAAAGCAACUUGAGUAUCAACGGCAAACACAUCCCUUUUUCUCAUUUUCUAAGUGAUACUU